rnacentral:rRNA from 1 species
AGAGUUUGAUCCUGGCUCAGGACGAACGCUGGCGGCGUGCCUAAUACAUGCAAGUCGAACGCACUGACAGAGAAACUUGUUUCUCUCGACGUGAGUGGCGCACGGGUGAGUAACACGUGGGAAACCUACCCUUCAGCGGGGGAUAACCGUCGGAAACGAUGGCUAAUACCGCAUAGGUCUUUUAACCGCCUGGUUGAAAGAGGAAAGACGGCUUCGGCUGUCACUGAAGGAUGGUCCCGCGGUGCAUUAGCUAGUUGGUAAGGUAACGGCUUACCAAGGCGAUGAUGCAUAGCCGACCUGAGAGGGUGAUCGGCCACAUUGGGACUGAGACACGGCCCAAACUCCUACGGGAGGCAGCAGUAGGGAAUCUUCCGCAAUGGACGCAAGUCUGACGGAGCAACGCCGCGUGUGUGAAGAAGGUCUUCGGAUCGUAAAGCACUGUUAUUAGAGAAGAACAACCGGUAGAGUAACUGUUACCGGCUUGACGGUAUCUAACCAGAAAGCCACGGCUAACUACGUGCCAGCAGCCGCGGUAAUACGUAGGUGGCAAGCGUUGUCCGGAUUUAUUGGGCGUAAAGGGAGCGCAGGCGGGGACUAAAGUCUGAUGUGAACGCCCCACCGCUCAACCGUGGAAGGUCAAUAGGAAACUGGGUCACUUGAGUGCAGAAGAGGAAAGUGGAAUUCCAUGUGUAGCGGUGAAAUGCGUAAAUAUAAUGGAGGAAACCCCAGUGGGCCAAAGGCCACUUUUCUGGUCUGUAACUGAACCCUAAGGCCUCGAAAAGCGGGGGGAACCAA